rnacentral:rRNA from 1 species
UACGUAGGGGGCAAGCGUUGUCCGGAUUUAUUGGGCGUAAAGAGCGUGUAGGCGGCCUCACAGGUCAGCUGUGAAAACUCGAGGCUCAACCUCGAGACGUCGGUUGAAACCGUAAGGCUAGAGUCCGGAAGAGGAGAGUGGAAUUCCCGGUGUAGCGGUGAAAUGCGCAGAUAUCGGGAAGAACACCCGUGGCGAAAGCGGCUCUCUGGGACGGUACUGACGCUGAGACGCGAAAGCGUGGGGAGCAAACAGG